GUCUGUGGACUAUGGUAAACGAACACAGAAGGAAGGAAAAGAAGAGAAUGCUGGGAGGAAACCAGAGAAUAACACCGUAGCCCAGGGAAAACAUGCUGAGGAUUUGAGGACCUGCCAUCAUCUGCUGACAGAAGGAAAGCCUGACUCCAUUUAGGAGGUAGUUAGAGGUGACCCACAGCUGCUGCAGCUUCACCCCUCAUUUCAGAGGGGUGCCCCAAGCAUCAGUAACAUUACCAUCACAGCUCAGGAGAGAGUCAUCCUGUGGGGAUGCAGCUAUCAUUUGUUGGUUGACUUACUGGGAUUGUAGGGCAGCUGAGUCAAGAUGUCAAAAAGGAAAUAAAGCAAAGGAACCAGCAAAACCCAGCAGAAACAC
rnacentral:lncRNA from 1 species